rnacentral:rRNA from 1 species
UCUGACACAGGUGCUGCACGGCUGUCGUCAGCUCGUGUCGUGAGAUGUGGGUUAAGUCCGUAACGAGCGCAACCCUUGUCCUUAGUUACCAGCACGUUAUGUGGGCACUCUAAGGAGACUGCCGGUGACAAACCGGAGGAAGGUGGGGAUGACGUCAAGUCAUCAUGGCCCUUACGGCCUGGGCUACACACGUGCUACAAUGGUCGGUACAAAGGGUUGCCAAGCCGCGAGGUGGAGCUAAUCCCAUAAAACCGAUCGUAGUCCGGAUCGCAGUCUGCAACUCGACUGCGUGAAGUCGGAAUCGCUAGUAAUCGUGAAUCAGAAUGUCACGGUGAAUACGUUCCCGGGCCUU